ensembl:lncRNA
AGAUCUCAAUGCCUUAUAAAUUAAAAAGAUGCAUAUCUUAUUACAUGCUAGUUCUAUUUCUUGAUUUAUACUCCAUAAAAAUGCUUUUAUAUGUACAUAAGAAUGGGGCACACACCAGCAUGUUCAUUGCACAUUGUGAAAAAUCAAAACCAGCUAAAUUUGGCUCUACCAACAGAAUAGCAAAAUACAUACACUGUAGUAUAUUAACACUAUGAAACUGACAGUAGCAGUUGAAAAGAAUAUAGUAGAUCUCCAUGUCCUAACAUGGAAAGAUCUCCAAGACAUAAUGAGUGUGAAAAAGCAAGUUGCAGAAUGAUACGGUAUCUGCAGACAUGCAUAUACAUAUGCAUGUAUGUACAAACAUACAUGUGUAUAGAUACAUGUACACACAUACUUUUAGGAGGAUUAAUUUAAUUCAGGAGGGUUAAUUUAAUUCAUGUAAACCUUCAGAAAGUUAGGCAGGGAGAGGUGGAGGCCGUAGGGGAGAAUUUGAAACUGCAGUGGGCUUCAUCUUGGUAGAGAUUUCAGUGAUGGACUUGGCUGUAUUUAGUAUUCAGAACGAGUUUAACUUUCUAGAAACUGAAUAACGUUUUUACCUGCAGCCCUCAAAAAUAUGGAGUGUAUCUAAGGCUGGAAUGUUUAAAUUUAGUUUCAGUUAUUAAUGAUUUCUACCAUGGGUUCCUUCCCCUCUGUUGAACAUUGGCAGUAAUUAGGACUUUCUUUUUAUCUUGCCAGUGUUUAAGCUUCAAAUUCAGCAAGUUAACUUUGCUGGAAAAGGCUGAUCAUCUCAUAAAAAGUUCUAAUUAAAGCAUAUACCAGUGUCCACAGUAUAACUGCAUACCUGAGUCUUUCACACAAUAAACUGAAGAAGGUCUGAAAUUAAGGUCCAACUUAAAGCUUUUUAAUGCAUACUCUGCCCAAUAGUGGGGCCACAGCCUCCUCCUUUGCUUCUGUCUGCUGUGGGCAGGUUCCAUUUUUCACCAACUGAUGGAACACAGCAUCUGUGUUGUGGUUUCUUUUUAACCAGAAUAUAAGAAAGUAUUUGCUGACUGAAGCCAGAGAAAAAAAUAGACCUGAAUUUCUUCAGGGUUGGCAGACUGCUGUUACAAAGGUAAGUAAGUGAUAAAAAUGAAAACCCAGGCAUGUCAAGGGGAUGGAAUUAUCUGAGGGCUGGGUGUCUUUAAAGCAUUUGAAGACCAGUUGUGAAAAUACCAACAGAGAGCCUGGAGGCCGCAGGGAGGCAACUCAGAAUAAACCUCAGUUUAGUAUUCAUCAUCUGGCUGCCAGGUUUCUCACUGCUUGCUGGGAAAAAUAAAUUCAGUCAUUUCAUCCUGGGGGCAGCUGCUAAUGAUAUGGUUGCUCUUUUACAAAAAAAAUUUUUUGGUGGCACCUGCGUCUUGCCUCAUGGCUCUUAUUUCCAGAUGAUUCAUAUAGACCCGGAGAAAUACUGAAAUGACUGUUUGGAUUCACUAAGGGAGCAAGUACACUGGGCUACUUUCCAGGCAUCUGGGGAAUGAGCAGGUGGCCUGAGUGCUUCAGUCAGCACAGUCUAGAAGCAGCACUAUGUUUGGCCAUAGACGUUAAAGCUGUGUGUGGGGCAGAGUGAGCAGGCCUAGCCUCUCAACUCUGACAUAAAUACCAGUAUCUUAAAUUUUAUUGGCAUUGCUUUGUUUUCCGAGUGUUUUAUAUGUAUGAUCUCAGUUGAUUCUUACAUUCUGUGAGGCAAGCAGGUCACUUAGGAAUAAGAAACGUUUUUAUUAUAGAUGAGAAAACUGAAGCCUAGGUGUGACCUUCCCCAAAGGCUCUCGAAACUCUUUACAGAGUCAGAUUCUUGAACUCAGGUCUAUCUGGAUCAUUGACAGAAUGUUAAAGAGGCAUAGUCUUGAAAUCAACCUAUAACCCAAAUCUAAAGAGACAAGGUUUGUUUGUUCAUCCUUUUUUUUUUUUUUUUUAGUUUUUUAAUUUUAAUUUUUUGCUUUUUAGGGCCACACCCACAGCUUUUGGAGGUUCCCUUAUUUGUUCAUCCUUGAACUAUAUGCUAACUUUUCAGUUUAUGGGUUGGUUUGUUUUCUUUAUGGCUGCACUUGUGCCAUAUGGAAGUUCAUGGGCCAGGGAUCAAAUCCAAACUACAGCUGCAACCUAUGCCACAACUGCAGCAACGCCAGAUCCUUAACCUGCUGUGCUGGGCUGGGGAACCAGCUAGUUUCUCCACAGUGACCUGAUCUGCUACAGUCGGAUUCUUAACCCACUGUGCCACAGGGGGAACUCCUAAACUUAUGUUUUAUGUUUUAAAUACCCUAGUAUAUUAGUUCAAACCAGAAUUGAACUUGUGAAUUUUCUGAAUUUACCCAACUAGUAUAUCCAGGUAGUCUCCUCAGUUAAAUCAGGAUUUUUCAUAUUCUAACACUUUAGGAAAAAUAACUAGUCCUUUGGAAAAUAAUGCUUACCUUUACGAUUUCUUUAAAAGAAUAGGACAAAGUUGUGAAAUGAGAUGAAAAGUGAAGACUGACAAGCAGGAUUGUUACUCAGAAUUCAGAGUGCAGGCAUGCAUACUCUGAUCCACAAUUCCAUUUUGAUUCCAUUGUCAGCGAAUUUGAUAGCAGAACUAAUUAUCCAAACGGAAGUUUUAAAACAGGAUUUUGACUUUCCAUUUCUCACAUUUAGGCAAAAUUUCUGUAAGUGGUGGUUGAUUGAUAGCUCUUUUACCGUGGGCAGGUGCCUCCAUAAACUCAAACUUUUUUUUUUUUUUCUUUUUGCCUUUUCUAGGGCCGCUCCAGUGGCAUAUGGAGGUUCCCAGGCUAGGGGCCGAAUUGGAGCUGUAGCCGAUGGCCUACACCAGAGCCACAGCAACAUGGGAUCCGAGCUGCGUCUGCGACCUAUACCACAGGUCACGGCAACGCUGGGUCCUUAACCCUCUGAGCAAAGGCAGGGAUCGAACCCAAAACCUCAUGGUUCCUAGUCGGAUUCGUUAACCACUGCGCCACAACAGGAACUCCAAACUCAAACACUUUAAAUACUAGAGGUACACACGAGGUGUUUUGGAUAAAGACAAAUUUCCUUUCUCUUGCUUGUUUUUCCAUAAAAACAGCUAUUCUUAUCUGAAGAGAAAUACUUGGUUUUAUUUUAAUGAUCAUUUUGUUUCUCCCCUUAGUGUAUUCCACAACAGAAAAACGACAGUGACUGUGGAGUAUUUGUGCUCCAGUACUGCAAGUGCCUCGCCUUAGAGCAGCCUUUCCAGUUUUCCCAAGAAGACAUGCCCCGAGUGCGGAAGAGGAUUUACAAGGAGCUGUGUGAGUGCCGGCUCAUGGACUGAAACUCAGCAGGGACUCUGGGAAGUCUGACCAAAUUGGAGCAGAUGGUUUGUUACUUGAAUCUCCAAACACUUAUUUGAAUUUUUACAGAUAUUUCAGAUCAGUGGUGUUGGACCACUGUUGUUACCUCAAAUUUAUUUUUUGCCCUUAUUCAUUUCUCUAGUUACCAUGUACUAUUUUUUAAUGUUCAGUUUGGUUUCAUUUUUAAUUUUAUGGAUUCUGUGUGCCCCCCCAUAUUUAAUAUUUAUUAUCCAAAUGCAUGCAUAUAGACAGAGCAUGCAGUGCAGAGUAUAAAAAAAAAAAAAA